CUCUUAAAAUUAAUUUCAUUUAAAAUUUUUCUAUUUUUAACCAUAAGUACUUUGAUUUCGUCUUGGUGUUUGUGAUUUUUUUUCUUUUCAUGAUGCUGCUCUCCUCGGCACAAUUUGUUUCCAAAUUCCAAUUUAGAUCAUUUGUUCAAUCCUCAUAUUAUUUUUAUAACAUUUUUGCUAUAAUAUUUUCUUUUGAUGAUUCAUAUAUGUUGUUCAUAUUAAAAUGACAAAAUCGACAUUCCUUUUGAGUACCGAUUAGGAAACCAAGACUAGAAAGUAGAAAACCCAAUCGAAUGUCUUUGUAUUAUAGGUUUUGGGAAGGAAUCAUUAUUAACAACUAUAUCUACUCUCAAAUUACAAAUAUUUGUAACAUAAUGUCAUUGUCAAAUGUAAUAUACUGCUAAAUUCACUAUAGUCCAUAAAAACUAUUGGUGCAGUAUCUUUGGAUGUCUGCAUUUCUUGAGUGUUGGUUAUUGGCUUUGUGCCAUGAUUAGCUUGAAUUCGACAUGAAUCUCUUUCAUUUUCUCACCUUCGUAUUUUCAAGUGUUUUUCCAUUAGAUACUUUACAUAGUGUGGGUUGUGGAUAUGGUGAAGAUAGAUGGAAACCAUAGAGGGUGGAAAGUGGUCCUGCAUUAUAUCAUUAUACCUUAACAACUACUCCCUCCAUCCCAAAAUUAUAGUCUUGUAUUCUAAAUUGGGCGUCCCAAAUUUAUAGUCCUGUUUCUAAUUUUGGCUACUAAGGUCCCCACUUUCUCAUGUACUAUAUUAAUUUAAAAUGCAUUGAAAACCCCACCCAUGUACUAUAUUCCACUAUCCUAUGUACUAUAUUCUAUUUCACAUGUACUUUAUUCUACUUUUCCAUACAAUUCAAUCAUAAUUUGUACUUUAUUCCACUUUUUAUGUACUAUAUUCCAUUUUUCUUAAAAUCCAUGUUUUUGGUCAAACGGGACUAUAAUUAUAGGACGGAGGGAGUAGAAGUAUUUAGGUACAAGACAAGCAUUUCAUAGAGAAGGGCUUCAUGGCAUAUGUUAAAUUGUUCAAACCUCUUUAUGCAUCUUAGCUCUAAUUGCGCAGUUAUCCUUUUUUUAUUGCAACUAAUAUUUACUCUAAGUUAUGCAGUUGCAUCUAUAGUUUAUCUUCUAUGGCUUUGCCCUCAAUUUUGAUGGGUCUGUUGUGAACCAUGUUUCUUUAGGAGAAAUACGAUAUCUCAUAUGUUUCAGGUAUUAAAUGAUUGUGUGCAUGAUUAAGUAUUUGAUUAUAUAACACUUGCUAGAGGGAAGCAAAAAUUCUCUAUCUUCAAUGGGUCUUAUGAAUUUUGUUUUCUUAUAUACUUACUUCGUAUAUAAAAAUUUUAGAGAUUUAAUUUUUCUGGUGGUAUUUUUCUUCUUUAUUUGUAAGAAUGAUGUCUUCUAAUUAUAUUAACUUUGUUGCAGAAUCACACUUUCACUAGUAAGUAAUUGAUUGAAGAUAUUAUGAGAUUCAAUGAGCAUAAAAUGUGUACUAUGCAAUGAGCCUAAAGUGUAUGUUUCCAAGGUUGUUUCAAUUUUAUGAUAACAAGUUUCCUUAUAUGUUUUACAACUUGUGCGAUUUGUUCAUUUAUUUAUAUUAUAUCCUUUUUUAUCACUUAGCUAACACUAAAUGAAAGAGAACGCACCUGGUGUAGCAACAAAAUAUUGUCCCUUGAGUAUUUUACUAGUGAAAGCUAUUCACGUUGUUCUUCUAAGUUCUUUUCAUUUUGACAAAUAAAUUCUUAGUUGAUUCUGAUACAUUUAACCCAAUUAAUCAAUGUGUAAUUUUUCAGAAGUGCGAGGAUGAUCUCACGAAAUAUAAAGUAUGAUUUUGUUUACUUUUGUGUAUCUUCUUUUUGUUUAUGUUCUGUAGCUUAAUUGUCUGUCAAAUGUUAACCCUUACUGUUUUCUACUAGCUAUUUGAUCUUCUAUGUAUCUUACUUUUCUAGAUAUUUGAUGAAACUCGUUUCUUAUGAUGUUUCAUUUUGUUUAUAAUAGCCUUUUAAUUUGGUGCUACAUAAAUCAUUUGAGAGAUGUCAAGAACUUCUGGAAAAGUUCUUUUUAAGUGUAAAAGGAAUUCAAGGGCAAUUCUAAUAAACUCUCAUACUAGAUUAAAAUUAUUUAUUUGAGACUUAAUCCAGCAAACUUGGGCUGCGAUCUUUCAAAAUACUUAUGUUCUGUAAGUACAACUUCUGGUUUGUUAGCUCCGAUGUCUUUCUUCUUCGUUCCUUCGAACUUCCUCCCGUUCGACUAAAUUUCACGUUAAAACCCUGUAAAGUGGAGGAUCCAUAGCAAAAGAGUAUCGAAAAAUGGUGGAGGAAGUGAAAAUUUCUAUGAGAUUAUUAGAUUUAGUACACGUAUUUCUCUUAAUCCAUUCCAGAUUCAACCAGGCCUGAAAAACUACUCGAUCACAAAAUCAGACAAGGAAUUGGGAGAAAAGGAAACCCCUUUACCUGCCCCAAUUUAGAAUUCAAUUUGUCACUAUAAUGCAAAAUAUAUUCAGUAGAUACCACAGGUACAAACACUAGUAACAUGGAAUUUAAAUUUCUGAUUUUCUUUGAAAGCUAUUGUGUUGGUAAAAUCGCAGAUUUCCAUCUUGAUGUGAUAGCUUCGUUACUUGUACAACUACUCCAAAAAGAGCCUAGCUUGACCCUGGAAAUGAUUGCAAAAGCUAUAGUGUGAACUGCUACAAAUGGUACAUAACAUAUAGGUUUCAUGCAUACUGGUAUGUUUUCUAAUCCAUAUUAUUACAGUAUUUGUUCUUUUGGCAUUGUAACUAUUACAUGAGACUUGGUUGUAAGAGCUCAACAAAUAAAUAGAGCUAACUGUGCAUCCUUGAGCUAUUAUUAUGCAUAUGACAACUAUGAGAAGAGAUUGAAACGUCGGCCAAAGGGAGUGCCUGAAGCACAUUUCAAAACACUUCUUUCUUAUUGGGAGACUAAUGCAACAAAGGUAGGUUUGAAGCAUAAUAUAUUCUUAUGAUGUUGAAUUAUUUCCAUGUCUAAUUUAUAUUUCUUUUGCUGUUAGAAAAACAAGUUUGCAGAAUUCGGAAAAUCGCAAAGAGCUCAUAUUUUGAGAAGAAUUGUUUGGUUUGCUCUCAAUUAACAGCCUGAUCUUGUGGCACAAGUAUUAUCGUUGUUGUAGUCAUCUCUCAGUAGAACUCAUAAGUCAUAACCACUUUUGUUGAUGAGAAUCUGUUACCUUUCCUGAGUUAUGCCAUAUUCCUCGUUCUCGUCAUAGUUCAGUUAAUUUCUAAUGCUUACUUCCAGUCUUUUCUGUUUUUGAUGUUGCAGUUGAAUGUUGAAUAUCAUUUUCCCUGCGAUCCAAAAUACUUCGACAUCAGCAACUAAAGGUGCCUCGAUUUGUCUUGUACAUAACCCACCUUGUACAUUUGAACUCUACUGAAAGCAGAGCCAUUAUUCUACAACAUCUGUACAAUACUUUCAUUUUUAGUAUUCUAUUUUGUGCAGUUAUGUUCCUAAGUACUUAGUAGAUAUCAUCACUCAUUUGUUAGUCUGCAACAAUUUUGUUGGUUCUGGUGGAGUUGUUUAUUCUGGUUGUGAGUUUGCAGUGUGUUACCAAGUAGCAGAUUUUGAUCUGCUAGUAGUUUAUUAGUUCCGCAAGGGUGGAUAUUUAGUUCCAGUUAGCAAAUUCUGAUAUGCUAGUAGUAGUUCAGAUUCCGAUCUGCUGCUUGUUGUUCAGUUUUGUAAGGCUGUGGUGUGCUACUUGUUUUUCAAUUCUGUAAGGCUGUGGUGUGCUGCUUGUUGUUCGGUUAUGUAAGGCUCUGAUUCUGAUCUGCUUCUUGUUGUUAUAUUCAGUUCCAGUUAACAUAUUUGUUUUGUUUAGGCGCGCUCGGGAGGUGGGUUAGGUUCAGCCCUUCAUGUGCAGUUGUGCUGCUUGUUUGUGUUUCUUCCCAUGCAGAUGUGUUGUGUGGAUGAUAAUAGAAGGAGAAUGGUAGAUAAAAGGAUGGCUGGAAGGGCAUAGAUUGAUUUUAGACAACUAAAUUAUAUACUUGAUUGGUUUUAGAUUGCUUUCAUUAGUAAAUUAUAUAUUAGUUCUUUUUAGGGAUUCAUUAGUUUUCUUAAUUGAUGUAUUUAUAUUAUAAUGUACAAUGGUUUUUGUUAUUAGAAUGAUUGUUGUGGAUAUUUUAUUUUAAUAAUAAGUAAAA